rnacentral:rRNA from 1 species
UUCCUCAGUAGCGGCGAGCGAACAGGAAUAUAGCCCAGCACUGAAUCCCGUCGUUGUWAUGGCGUCGGGAGAUGUGGUGUUCGGGAGGUUCCGCUUUCUCGUCGUCGUUUACGCCUGUCCAAGUUCGUCUUGAACGGGGCCCAUUUCCCAUAGAGGGUGCCAGGCCCGUAGCGACGGCGUACGGCGGCGAGAGGGACUCUCCUCAGAGUCGGGUUGCUUGAGAGUGCAGCCCUAAGCGGGUGGUAAACUCCAUCUAAGGCUAAAUAUUACCGCGA